rnacentral:rRNA from 1 species
UACGUAGGGACCAAGCGUUGUUCGGAUUUACUGGGCGUAAAGGGCGCGUAGGCGGCUUAACAAGUCACUUGUGAAAUCUCCGGGCUUAACUCGGAACGGCCAAGUGAAACUGUCAAGCUAGAGCGCAGAAGGGGCAAUCGGAAUUCUUGGUGUAGCGGUGAAAUGCGUAGAUAUCAAGAGGAACACCUGAGGUGAAGACGGGUUGCUGGGCUGACACUGACGCUGAGGCGCGAAAGCCAGGGGAGCAAACGGG